rnacentral:SRP_RNA from 1 species
UGUCAGGCCCCAUGCAACGAGCGCCGACGAAUCCCGCCAGGACCGGAAGGUAGCAACGGCAGUCAGGAUUCUCGUGUGCCGUGGGUCACCUGGCACUU